GAGAAACAACUUGUUUUGCUUUACAAGGGUUGUGUGAAACAACUUGAGAAAUCUGGGUGUGAAGGAGAUUUUUGCUUUCAACGAUUUAAAUUCUCACCCUUUGGAUAUGGCUGGCUCCUCAAACAUUGAUCUAUUUUGAAUAUCUCAUUCCAAUUGAGUUUAUGGACUGUAGUUUGUGAUUAGCACAUAAUAUGAAAUGAUUGGGUUUACACUUGAUCCUUCCCUUGGUGAGUUCAUAUUGAAUGACUCACCCAAACAUUAAGGUAGGUGCAUUAUGUUGCAGUCAAAUUGGUAAAUAAGUGUUAAGUAGCAUAGUUUAUUAGAUUUUUACUUACACAAUUCUAAAUUUUAUUUGCUGUAAUGUAUUAAUUGCAUAGAUACCACGAAAGGAAAGAUUUAUUAUGUUAAUGAAAGGAAAUGCCAAAAACUGCGAUGAACCAACCACCAAGUAAUUUUUCUGAGUGUGCCAUUUGCUUCAUUUUUUCAUGAGGGAAGACUCAUUUUCAGAAUAUUCCAUUUGCUUCACUGGAACAAAUCUAAUUGUGGUAAGU
rnacentral:lncRNA from 1 species